AGGGUGGGAAUCUGGCACCCUGUUAUCCUUCAACCUAGCACUUUGACAGGUCUUUAGGGGGAGUCCAUUGGGCCCCAUCUCAACCUCUUUCAGUACAGGAGAAUCCAAGGAUCUGACCAGCCACUUGCAAUAUUCCUUGCAGCGUAUUGGAGAGUUGGAGCAGGCUCCCUCUGCUGUCUCCAUGCAGCAGCAGGAAGAGGACAGGAACAGUGAGAACAAGAGCGCACUGCAGUUGGAGCAGCAAGUAAAGGAGCUGCAGGAGAAGAAGCUGAGCGAGGUGAAGGAGAUGGUAACCUCUGCCCCAUCCAAGAAGGGCUGGGAGGCGGGCACCAGCCUCUGGGGAAGGGAGGUGUGAGGCCAAAGGCAGCUCCAGCCUGGGGGCAGGCGAUGCCAGCACCCUUCAGGGCAGUCCUGUGACUGUUUCUUGCUUCCUGCCCUCUGACUUUUAGAGGUGGGUAGCCCUGGGUUCCUCCCAUGUCUGGACAUUAUACUCCCAGCUAGAGGCAUGGAGCCUCCCAAUCAGAGGGGAAGAGACAGUGGUAUAAGAGGCUCCUUAUACCGGGGCUGGUGGCUCACGCCUAUAAUCCCAGCACUUUGGGAGGCUGAGGCAGGAGAAUCCCUUGAGGUCAGGAGUUUGAGACCAGCCUGGCCAACAUCAUGAAAUCUCAUCUCCACUAAAAUUACCAAAAAAAAAAAAAGAAAAAAAUUAGCCAGGCAUGGUGGCACAGGCCUUUAAUCACAGCUACUCAGGAGGCUGAGGCACGAGAAUCGCUUGAGCCUGGGAGGUGGAGGUUGCAGUGAGCUGAGAUUGUACCACUGCACUCCAGCCUGGGCCACAGAGUGACACUCUUGUCUCAAAACAAAACAAAACAAAAAAGCCUCCUGAGAUUCAAACUGGAUUCCGGCCUGGGUUCCACUGGUCACCCUUCAACUACUUUGCAUCUCUAAGUCUCUGUUUCGUUAACUUCAAAAGCAAGUUAGCAUUUUGCUUGCAGAGGUGCUGUGGAUUAAAUGAGAGAAUACAUGGAAAGCAUUAGGCUUGUAGCACACUUAGCAGAUGGUGGUUGGCUCCCUCUGGUUUUCCACCAGUCUGUGGCCUACAGUUUAAAUGGUAGGAAGGAGGUGAGAUUUUAGGCUGGGGAAGGAAAUA
rnacentral:lncRNA from 1 species